GUGGGGAAUAUUGGACAAUGGGGGGAACCCUGAUCCAGCCAUGCCGCGUGUGUGAAGAAGGCCUUUUGGUUGUAAAGCACUUUAAGCGAGGAGGAGGCUACCGAGAUUAAUACUCUUGGAUAGUGGACGUUACUCGCAGAAUAAGCACCGGCUAACUCUGUGCCAGCAGCCGCGGUAAUACAGAGGGUGCAAGCGUUAAUCGGAUUUACUGGGCGUAAAGCGCGCGUAGGUGGCCAAUUAAGUCAAAUGUGAAAUCCCCGAGCUUAACUUGGGAAUUGCAUUCGAUACUGGUUGGCUAGAGUAUGGGAGAGGAUUGUAGAAUUCCAGGUGUAGCGGUGAAAUGCGUAGAGAUCUGGAGGAAUACCGAUGGCGAAGGCAGCCAUCUGGCCUAAUACUGACGCUGAGGUACGAAAGCAUGGGGAGCAAACAGGAUUAGAAACCCUAGUAGUCC
rnacentral:rRNA from 1 species